GCCGCCGCUCUCUCCGAGAGAGGCCAUCGCAUAAGUCACCGGUGGAUCUGGCCACAGGGAAGCGAGGGACACGAGUCGCCGCCACCAUCUUCUCCUCUUCCAUCCCCACCCCACCAUCGCCUCCCUCGCUCUCGCCCUCUUCUAAUCGCUCUCCACUCCAUUUAGUGCCAGAUCCGAGCGAUGGCUAGGACGCCAGGGACGAUAAGAGAGAUUGAGAGCGGCGGCUCAGCCAUGACUAGGACAACAAUAACAAGCCAUGACUGUACCAGCGUAUGGCGACGACUCGGAUAAACCCAAUUUGGUAUGCAGUUCUACUUAAAGCAAUGAACGAUUUUUCCCUUUGUGUUGUACUAUGAUUUCUAUAUACUAUAUGCAAGUGUACCUAUUUGAUCUAGCCACUGAUCCCUGUUCUGGUUUGCUGCUCAUUAUUAGUUCAACAUGAAUGAUAUAUGUGGUCCUAUUUAGGUUUAGUUGUUUAUGCUAUGAGCAGUUUUUUAUUGGUUAAUUUGCUGCCUGCUAUUUUUGUACACAGGAUGAUAAUACAUAUGCAUUGAUGGUAUUCUUUGUGGAUGAUCUUACAAUGGCAAUGGUUCUCACGAAAGAUUCUAUGUAAACCUAACAAUCUUGGCAUACUAUCACAUCCAACCUUUCAAUUGGGCCACACUGAAGGUACCAUUCUUUUAUUCUCCAUUUUUUGACUUAAUUUCUUGAUUUGUAUGUAAUAGCAAGUUUUUUUUCCCUUUUUAUUGACUUAAUUUCAGUUACAAAAAGAGAAGUAUUAUUGUUUAAGUCAUGUGAUACGCCAGCAAGCAAACUACUCAUUUAGGUACCAGAACAACUGAAUACUUUGUGCAUAAUCAUCAAAACAGGACUCAGCAACAAGAUAAUUAAUAUGGCAGUAAUAAAAGUAAAAGUAUUGAGACAACUAAGGAGGUUCUAAUAGGCAGCAAGUUUCAAUAGGACAUGCAAAACCAAGCGGAUGUGAUCUCAAGGACCGGGAAGAAACGUUAGCUAGAACUCCUGGCAAAACUAUAUUUGUUUGAAUUACUGCCAGAUAUAUGGCCCAAAAGUAGAACAAAGCAAUUUGAAAUUACAUCAAGUGGGAAAUGCAUAUGGUAAUGAACUUUCUGUACACGUUGGAUAUUAUUUUAAAGAGGUUAUACCAGUGGUGGUAGUAACAUGAAAAUAAUGGUGGAAAGCGUGUGUGAAGUGGUUUCAUACCGGUGGGAUUGUGGGUAUUCAGAAGGAAAGCAAACAUCAAAGAAGAACAGACCAUCAUGAUAUGGAGUUUCAGCUGGCCCAACAAUGGCAGCCCUCAGCAGAUCAAUCCUAUCCUCAUAAACUCUAACAUAGAUAGAUUCUGCAUGAUUGAAACCAGACUGAGAUGCAAGUUUCUAGUAUUGAAGACAUCAGCUAUUUCAGUCACAGUUGCUCUAAACGAAAAACUUAAGGCGCAAAUGUAAACUGUAUGUAAUGAUACUUGUGAUACAUUAGCUUCCUUCAGCAACAUGAUUUGAGAUAUGUACAUUCUUUUCCAUUUGUCCCAUUACCCAAACUUAGCAAGAUUAAGUUCUGAAGACUGUUAUGCUUCUAUGACAAGAUUGCAUGGAAAAGGGACGAUAAAUGCAGACCAUAACUAAAAGAUAUGUGACACAUUAACAAAAACUAACAGAUAAAUCAGAUAUAGCACGAAUAAAGUAUUUUAUACAUCAAGCAUAGACAAUAUCAUUAGCUAGUUCGGGAUUCAGCAACAGUUGUAACAAAACUCCAAACCACAAACAAAUUGGUAUAACCAAUGAAUAUAUCCUAUUCAAACCCAAACUGAGCAUGUGACUACCUUUAACUCAAGAAAGAUUUCAAACAUAGUCUGUUAGCAUGUCACACGGAUCAGAUAUAAUUGGCAUAAAACAGAGGUCAGUAUAAGAAAGGACCAUUAUAUGUGUUCACCAUCUAGGCACUGACGGUUUGAUAAAAUUGAAUACAAUGAUUUGCCAUAUAAAAGCAUGUACUGACCAGGUAGAUCUUUCUGUAGAAGCCUCCAUUCAUUUUGGAUUGUCUUCACCCAAUCUUUGGAGGUCUGAUCAGUGGCCACAGAUAAAGACAGGAAAUUAAUUCACAGUUGGAUCUAUUGAUAGAAAUAGAAUUCAUAAAACGCACAGCUUACCUUCCCUGGUGAAUUCUUUGCAUAGUAAUGGUCAGAAAAAUCUUGAACAACAUCAAAAUGGCUAAACAAAUUGCAACCAUCACUUUCAAAUCCAUAUUCUGUCCUUGUCAUUGAUGAUAUAACACUUGAACAUUCAGGCUCAUGUUUUUGCACAGAUAGCACAGUACCAUUCCCAGUUGAAAAGGGAUCCAAAAGGCUGUUGUUUGUGCUGACAUUUGCAGUGGGGUGUGGAGCGGCAACUGAAAGCCAGUAGAGUAACUAGUUUCAAACCAAGAUGUUACAAAAAAAGGCACACCAAUCUUAAAGACAGAGAUACAGAAUAGGAUACUGAAGCUCAUUUAACUGCAAAAAAGAGGUUUACUUGCAUCAAUACUACCGACUGACAGCAAAGCAAAGAGUGAUGAACAUUAGAUAAUGUGUAGUUCUGUUAAAGUAACAAAUAUCCCCUUUGGGGGUAAACGGGGAGGGGGGGGGCUUUUUUUUUUUUUGUUCAUUUUAAUUUUUUAAAAGAACAGGUUCAGCUACAUGAAGCAUAAGAAUUACAAAAACAAACAAGGAGGAAAAAGUUGCAUGAAAAGAUAACUUUACAAAGAGGAUUAAUGGCUUUGCCUGCAUGAAAAUAUUCUUUUAUUAGAAAGCUCCAGGCAGAAGAGCAAAACACUUGAUUUUAUCUUUCUGAAACAAAAUAAGGAGAAUUCCAUGCUUCAGAGGGAGAUGCGGAUUUCGUGGCUGGGUAUACAGGCUAAUGAAAUAUUAAGUUUUUUUUCAUUAUACAGUUUAACAAACUUCAAAACAAUAUUGAUCACCAAGACUCAUGGAUUCAUAAUACCAGACUAUUCACAAGUUCACUCUCCAGUGAAUAUAUCCAAUCACACUAGUAGCACUCUCAAUCUGUUGAGAUUAAGUUUACUACACAUAUCACAUUUUGGUAUACUUUGUUAACCUCAAAGCAUCUGAUAUAGCAAUAAUGUACAGCAGCCACAAUUAUCCAAUAAUGUCAAUCCAUUAUGACAACCCCAUUUAAUCUGCAGUAUCCUUUCACCAGAAAACACGUUCAUAUUUGAAAAAAAAAACAGAAUUCAUGGAAGAAAGAGUGCACAAGACGAACUGAUAAUAUGCCAUCAGAUGAGGAAAGCAUCCUAGGAUCAAUCAAACAAACAGAAGCAGCUGACGUAAAGAUGAUGUUAAAUAGGGGCAGUAGUGCAGCUGUGCAGCACCUUUCUUCUUGGAAUCCUUCUUCUUCACACAAAACAGCUCGAGCACCUUGUUUAGAACCAUCCUUAAAACCCGCUUCACGCAAAACGCACCUGAAAAACAUGAGACGCCAUCAUCAGAAUUAGACAGCCAGAAAACAGAAAUAGGCGUCGUCCACCAUCUCCAAAUAAAUCAUCUUCUCACCAAGCGUAACCGAAAAAGGAAGAAAAAAAGACACUAUCUUUUGGAGAAUCCCAACUCCCCAAGCAACUAUUAGUAUUUUCUCCCUUUUAUUUACUUUUUAUUUUAUUUACACUUCACUUCAUUAGUGAACUUUUGGGUUGGGAACUCUUGUUCAUCUGCCUCACCUGUCGGCGUCUAACUCCACACUCCAAUUCCAAUCAGUUACAUACGCGAAGGCUUGUCCAAUACGAUUGGGACACCCUUACCCCCAAGAACAGACAACAACAAAAAAGAAAGAAAGAAAAAAGAGAAGGAGAAGAGAGAACACAUUGAAAGCAAGAAGCCAAGAAACGGCAACUACAGCAACAGAACAAACCCAACAAGGAAAAAACAUACAAAAAUAAAAAGGAAUAAACUUGGACUGUCGCCAUCUAUGAACAGAGUAUCCAUCCAUCCAUCCACCCCAAUUCCACAGAGAAAAACGAGAGAUCACGAAGGUGGUGGUAAUCCCCCGAUCAUCAGCCACCGCCCAUCGCCCACAGCCGCGCCUCCACAAAAUAAAAAAGGAAAAAAAGAACCCUUUCCCCGCAAGAACAACGGCUGCAUCGAUCAAAAAGGAGAAGAAGAAAACCUCGGGUUUGUCUGAGGUGGUCGCGCUGUGCUCUGCAGUGGAGAGGGGGGAAGGGGGAGGGUUUUAGUUGCAGGGCUCAGCAACAAGAUAAUUAAUGUAGCAGUAAUAAAAGUAAAAGUAUUGAGACAACUAAGGAGGUUCUAAUAGGCAGCAAGUUUCAAACAAUAGGACAUGCAAAACCAAGCAGAUGUGAUCUCAAGGACCGGGAAGAGACGUUAGCUAGAACUCCUGGCAAAACUAUAUCUGUUUGAAUUACUGCCAGAUAUAUGGCCCAAAAGUGGAACACAGCAAUUUGAAAUAACAUCAAGUGGGAAAUGCAUAUGGAACAGUUCAGAACAUGGGCACAGGAAGUGAGGAACUUACAGCAUCCUAGCUGUAAGUUCCAGCUGUCAGGAACUUACAGUGUUGAACACUAUGUGAACCAGUAUAGGAAGCAUAUGGAGAAAUUUUCAUUGGCAUAAUGGCGUUUCUCAAUGCAAUGCAGUCUGUAUCCCCAAAGAAAACACAUGGUGAGGAAUUAAUUCCGCAGUUCACUAUAGAGUAGCACAUUUCCUAAUGCAACGUGUGUGCCGGGGCAGAGCAGCACAUUUCCUAAAGCAUAAGCUUAAACAAGUGGAUACAAAAUAUGCGUAGCACCAGAAGAACUCCUGUAACGUAGAUUGUCCAGUCUCCACUCUAAACAUCUCCAAUCCAGCACCCAAACACCCUAGGGAAAUUCUCUAAUUACUUUGGUCCGAUAGCAUCCCGUGAAGUUCAGAUAACCUACUACUCACAUCCCCAAAUUUCAGAGAAGUACACAAAUGAAUUAAUGCAUCAAUCUACUAUAUAGAACUCGAAUCAUGCGACAGGCAUCACAUCACAUUGAUCUGAUGAACGAUCGAUCGGAACGCGAAGCAAGC
rnacentral:lncRNA from 1 species